UACGUAGGGGUCACGCGUUGUCCGGAUUUAUUGGGCGUAAAGAGCGUGUAGGCGGCCAGGUAGGUCUGCUGUGAAAACUCGAGGCUUAACCUCGAGCUGUCGGCGGAAACCAUCUGGCUAGAGUCCGGAAGAGGAGAAUGGAAUUCCCGGUGUAGCGGUGAAAUGCGCAGAUAUCGGGAAGAACACCCGUGGCGAAGGCGGUUCUCUGGGACGGUACUGACGCUGAGGAGCGAAAGCGUGGGGAGCGAACAGG
rnacentral:rRNA from 1 species